rnacentral:rRNA from 1 species
CCAAUAGCGUAUAUUAAAGUUGUUGCAGUUAAAAAGCUCGUAGUUGAAUUUCGGGAUUGACCCAUCGGUCGUGCCUUAAGGGGUAUGAACUGGUGUAGUCAAUUUCUCACCUUCUGGAGAACCGUGAUGUCCUUAAUUGGGUGCCACGAGGAACCAGGACCUUUACUUUGACAAAAUUAGAGUGUUUAAAGCAGGCAUUUUUGCUUGAAUACAUUAGCAUGGAAUAAUAAAAUAGGACGGCAUGAUUCUAUUUUGUUGGUUUCUAGGAUCACCGUAAUGAUUAAUAGGGAUAGUUGGGGGCAUUAGUAUGCAAUUGUCAGAGGUGAAAUUCUUGGAUUUAUUGAAGACUAACUACUGCGAAAGCAUUUGCCAAGGAUGUUUUCAUUAAUCAAGAACGAAAGUUAGGGGAUCGAAGACGAUCAGAUACCGUCGUAGUCUUAACCAUAAACUAUGCCGACUAGGAAUCAGACGAUGUUAAUUUUUUAAUGACUCGUUUGGCACCUUACG